ACCACCGAAGACGCGGCAGCAAUCUUCAUGGUUGCUGGGUAGGAGAGCGUCCUGCGAGGGGCGAAGCGGCCGGGUAACCGUGCCGUGGACUUCGUGGGAGUGAGAAUGCAGACAUGAGUAGCGAGAGACGGGUGAGGAUCCCGUCCGCUGGAUGACCAAGGGUUCCGGGGCCACGUUCGUCGUCCCCGGGUGAGUCGGGUCCUAAGGCGAGGCCGACAGGCGUAGUCGAAUGGAUGAACGGGUGGAUAUUCCCGUACCGACCAUGGACCGGCAAAACCGAGACGGUGAGUACUAACCUCCGCCUCGUGGUGGUUCCUUCCUUCGGGUUGGUAUCGCCGCGUGGUGUUGGGACUGUAGCCGUAGUAGGUCAGCGCAGGGGUGACACGGAAUGGGAGCCGGCCGCGGAGGUGGUUUUCCGUGGUCAAGCACGCAGCCAGUCAUGUAGGCAAAUCCGCAUGGCGCGCAUGGCGAGGUGUGAUGAUGGGAGCCGUUAUGGUUCGAUAUCCGGUUGUCCAGGCCGUCGAGAAAAGCCUCGGCGUGAGGGCCAUGGCCGCCCGUACCCCAAACCGACACUGGUGGUCAGGUAGAGAAUACCAAGGCGAUCGAGCGAAUCCUGGUCAAGGAACUCGGCAAAUCACUCCCGUGCCUUCGGUAUAAGGGAGACCCGCUGGGGUGAACCGGCUAGCCCGGGGAGCUUUGGUGGGUGGCACAGACCAGGGGGUAGCGACUGUUUACCAAAAACACAGGUGCAUGCGAAGGCGAAAGCCGCUGUAUAUGCACUGACGCCUGCCCGGUGCCGGAAGGUUAAGAGGAUCCGUCAGUCCCUUCGGGGACGAAGCGGUGAAUUCAAGCCCCGGUAAACGGCGGUGGUAACUAUAACCAUCCUAAGGUAGCGAAAUUCCUUGUCGGGUAAGUUCCGACCUGCACGAAUGGCGUAACGACUUCCCCACUGUCUCGACCAGGAGCUCGGCGAAAUUGCAGUACGAGUAAAGAUGCUCGUUAAGCGCAGAAGGACGAAAAGACCCCGGGACCUUUACUAUACCUUGGUAUUGGCGUUAGGCGCGGAUUGUGUAGCAUAGGCGGGAGGCUUCGAAGCGUGGGCGCCAGCUCAUGUGGAGCCGCAAGGUGAAAUACCGCUCUGUUCUCGUUUGACGUCUAACCUCGACAAGUCAUCCUUGUCAGGGACAGUGCCUGGCGGGUAGUUCAACUGGGGCGGUUGCCUCCCAAAGAGUAACGGAGGCGCUCAAAGGUCCGCUCAGCCCGGUUGGCAAUCGGGUGUCGAGUGUAAUCGCACAAGCGGGCUUGACUGCGAGGACGACGGUCCGAGCAGGGACGAAAGUCGGAGAUAGUGAUCCGGUGCCGGCGCACGGGCGCGGCAUCGCUCAACGGAUAAAAGGUACCCCGGGGAUAACAGGCUGAUCAUUCCCAAGAGUCCANAUCGACGGGAUGGUUUGGCACCUCGAUGUCGGCUCGUCGCAUCCUGGGGCUGGAGCAGGUCCCAAGGGUUCGGCUGUUCGCCGAUUAAAGCGGCACGCGAGCUGGGUUCAGAACGUCGUGAGACAGUUUGGUCUCUAUCCUCUGCGCUCGUUGGAAUCCUGAGGAGGCCUGCCCAUAGUACGAGAGGACCUGGGUGGACGAACCUCUGGUAUGCCGGUUGUCGCGCCAGCGGCACGGCCGGUUGGCUACGUUCGGGAGGGAUAACCGCUGAAAGCAUCUAAGCGGGAAGCCUGCUCCAAGAUUAGGAUUCCGUACGGUCUCGAACCGUUGUAGCCCGCAUGUUGAACACGUGUUUGAUAGGCCGGAGGUGGAAGCCCCGUGAGGGGUGGAGCCGACCGGUACUAACGGGCGACGGCGACACAAC
rnacentral:rRNA from 1 species